UUCUCUUUGGCAGCAUAGAUGUUUCUUUUAUUUAUCUGGGCUAUCUUAUGCAAUAUACUACCUAAUUCACUACUUGAGAGCAUAACAUUUAGCAGGCAAGCCACAAAACACACAUUUCAUUGCAGCAGCUGUCCUAGAGCCAGAAGAGGUAAAGUGCGGUGCCCAAUAUGAUCCUCUGACACAGAAUGGUCUAGCGGUUAAGAGCCUCAGCGUCAACCAGAUGGAUCUUUUCUUAAUUGCAUGAUGGCGAGCAAGUUACUUCAAUUCCCUGAAGCCAGAUUUCUCAUCACUAAGUGGAAAUACUGACCAACAGCUCUACCUGUAAGAACAUCUUUAUCGAUUGGUCGGACCCAGAAAUGUCUCUAGCACUCCUCCCUAGGUGGUGGAAAGCAAAGGAGAAGAGACUGCAGAGGCUGUGGAAGAACCUCGAUUACACUGAUGAAAUGUGAAAUAGGAGAGAUGUGAGACAUUAUUAAAUGAUUAGGUUGAAUAACGAAGGGCUAAUGUAGCCUGGAGAAUUAUGAGAAGCUGGAGUUCCACAUCUCUGUUGAGAAAUCAGGAUUUAUUGGUCUGGUUGCUGGACUCAUUCAAAUCCUAUACUUGUUAAAUUUGGAAAAUAUUUCUCAUAGGACCUCAAGAAUAUUCCAAGCCUAGGGACUAUCAAUAUUUCACAAAAUUCUAUUUUGAUUAAAAUGCUUUCCCAAAAGAAGUAAGCCCUUACUAAGAGAAAGUAUGUAGUAGCGUGCUAACUCUAGUUCCUAAUCUAGAGGAUGGAGAGCCAAAGACAAUGUAAUAUGAGGAUAAUCUAUUCUAACGUAGGUGUUCUUUGUGGACUUCCUGCUUAAAAAGACAUUAAGAUAUUAAUUAAUGAAGAUAUUUGAAAGCUCACCUCAAGUCCUUCAUAGAAUUUCUCUAAUUACAGCUCAUCAGGAAGAUGACAAGUAUUUAACUCUAAAUGAAGGCUAUAACCUGCCUUGGGUUUCUAAUAGAGUGUAAACCCUUACUCAAUGCUCACUUGUAUUUAGACGGACCAAGAACUAAGCAUUCUCGUUGUACCCGAAUUAGAAAAACACUUCUCCAGUUAGCCUGGGACCAAAGGCUUAUUUUGAAAAGAGAAUAUAAACAAAAAGCAAAAUAAAACUCUGAGCUAAUUUUCUUGCCACAAUACUUACUGGCAUUGAGAAGACUAAAAUUAGCUACAGCUAAUUUUCAAGCAAGAGGAGUGCUUUUAUGCUUCUCUAGACAAUUAGGUUUCAUGCUUCUUUUUGUGAGCUCCUCCCAAAUUUUAAGUUGCCAUUGUAUAAGAAUGUCUAGAGUCAAAGAAAUGGCUGUCUCAACAAUUGAGUGCAUAUGGGCUACAAUCUUCACACAAUAUUGUCAAGGGCAUUUUCUGGACCCAAAUAUAAAUCUCAGCUUCUAGUUGGAUGUAUUAUUUGUUGAAAUAUUUAUUCCAUAGUCCUUUACUGAGGUUUCUUUUCCUCCUCCUUAUGAUACACUAUGCCAUUUGUUGAUUUAAGAAACUUAAUAUCUUUGGUUGAUAUUUUUAAUGUUGAGAACUCUACCUUUUUAAGUGCCUUGUACCUUGAGAAAUAUUUAUUUAAGGUAUCCAAAAAGACACAAAAAGCCAACACAAUGAAUGCCAAUAUACCUGCCAUGAGGCUUAAAUAAAAAACAUAGUGUUUGUCCCUUUCUAAAUUACAUCUCCUUUCCUUCCUUCACUAAAUAUGACCACUCUCUAGAAUUACUUUCUGUCAUUCCCAUAGAUUUCUUCAUAAUUUUACUAUGUAUUCAUAAACAAUAUAAUAUGGUUCCACAGUGUUUUCACUUUCAUAUAAAUAUUGUAUAUACUCUUCUGCAACUUACUUUCCACCCAAUACUAUGUUUUUGAGAUUCAUGCCGUUGAUAUGUGUAGCUAUAGUUCAUUUUCAGUAUUGCAUAAAUACUUCACAGUGCAUUUAUCUGUGCUCCUGUUGGUGGACAUUUGGGUAAUUGCCAACUUUUCUCACACAAAAAGCUAUAUGAACAUUCUUACAAUAUAUUUCUUCAUGCACGUGUGAGGGAGUAGAGCUUAAGCCUGAAACUGGUCACAGGCCAUAAUAAAACCAUUAUUAGAAAUAGGCAAAAUGUUCUCUGUAGUGGUUCUAACAAUUUCUAGGCCUUCAACGAUGGAUUAGCAGUUCUCUUUUCUUAACAUCCUUGACAACAUUUUUACUGUAAGACAUUACAAAUUUCACCAAUCUGAUGGGUAGCAAUGGUACCUUACUGUACACAUAAGAUUUUCAAAAAAUACGGGGGUGCCUGCGUGGCUCAGUCAAUGAGGUAUGCCUGUCUUCAGCUCUGGUCAAAAUCCCAGGGUCCUGGGAUCCCGCCCUGCAUCCGACUUCCUGCUCCGGAGAACGUGCUUCUCCUUCUCCCUCUGCCACUCCCCCUACUUGUGCGCACUC